UCCCUGGUGGCUCAGAUGGUAAAGAAUCUGCCUGCAAUGUAGGAGACUUGGGUUCAAUCCCUGGUUUGGGAA
rnacentral:tRNA from 1 species